rnacentral:tRNA from 1 species
AGGGUGUUAGUUAAACGGUAUAACAGCGGUCUCCAAAACCGCGGUCAGGGGUUCAACUCCUCUACACCCUGCCA